GAUAAACGCUGGCGGCGUGCCUAAUACAUGCAAGUCGAGCGAACGGACGAGAAGCUUGCUUCUCUGAUGUUAGCGGCGGACGGGCGAGUAACACGUGGAUAACCUACCUAUAAGACUGGGAUAACUUCGGGAAACCGGAGCUAAUACCGGAUAAUAUUUUGAACCGCAUGGUUCAAAAGUGAAAGACGGUCUUGCUGUCACUUAUAGAUGGAUCCGCGCUGCAUUAGCUAGUUGGUAAGGUAACGGCUUACCAAGGCAACGAUGCAUAGCCGACCUGAGAGGGUGAUCGGCCACACUGGAACUGAGACACGGUCCAGACUCCUACGGGAGGCAGCAGUAGGGAAUCUUCCGCAAUGGGCGAAAGCCUGACGGAGCAACGCCGCGUGAGUGAUGAAGGUCUUCGGAUCGUAAAACUCUGUUAUUAGGGAAGAACAUAUGUGUAAGUAACUGUGCACAUCUUGACGGUACCUAAUCAGAAAGCCACGGCUAACUACGUGCCAGCAGCCGCGGUAAUACGUGGGUGGCAAGCGUUAUCCGGAAUUAUUGGGCGUAAAGCGCGCGUAGCGGUUUUUUAAGUCUGAUGUGAAAGCCCACGGCUCAACCGUGGAGGGUCAUUGGAAACUGGAAAACUUGAGUGCAGAAGAGGAAAGUGGAAUUCCAUGUGUAGCGGUGAAAUGCGCAGAGAUAUGGAGGAACACCAGUGGCGAAGGCGACUUUCUGGUCUGUAACUGACGCUGAUGUGCGAAAGCGUGGGGAUCAAACAGGAUUAGAUACCCUGGUAGUCCACGCCGUAAACGAUGAGUGCUAAGUGUUAGGGGGUUUCCGCCCCUUAGUGCUGCAGCUAACGCAUUAAGCACUCCGCCUGGGGAGUACGACCGCAAGGUUGAAACUCAAAGGAAUUGACGGGGACCCGCACAAGCGGUGGAGCAUGUGGUUUAAUUCGAAGCAACGCGAAGAACCUUACCAAAUCUUGACAUCCUUUGACAACUCUAGAGAUAGAGCCUUCCCCUUCGGGGGACAAAGUGACAGGUGGUGCAUGGUUGUCGUCAGCUCGUGUCGUGAGAUGUUGGGUUAAGUCCCGCAACGAGCGCAACCCUUAAGCUUAGUUGCCAUCAUUAAGUUGGGCACUCUAAGUUGACUGCCGGUGACAAACCGGAGGAAGGUGGGGAUGACGUCAAAUCAUCAUGCCCCUUAUGAUUUGGGCUACACACGUGCUACAAUGGACAAUACAAAGGGCAGCGAAACCGCGAGGUCAAGCAAAUCCCAUAAAGUUGUUCUCAGUUCGGAUUGUAGUCUGCAACUCGACUACAUGAAGCUGGAAUCGCUAGUAAUCGUAGAUCAGCAUGCUACGGUGAAUACGUUCCCGGGUCU
rnacentral:rRNA from 1 species